rnacentral:rRNA from 1 species
UCGGGAAUAUUGCGCAAUGGAGGAAACUCUGACGCAGUGGCGCCGCGUAUGGGAAGAAGGUUUUCGGAUUGUAAACCAUUUUAGACAAGGAAGAAAAAAGACAGUACCUGUAGAAUAAGCUCCGGCUAACUACGUGCCAGCAGCCGCGGUAAUACGUAGGGAGCAAGCGUUAUCCGGAUUUAUUGGGUGUAAAGGGUGCGUAGACGGGAAAACAAGUUAGUUGUGAAAUCCCUCGGCUUAACUGAGGAACUGCAACUAAAACUAUUUUUCUUGAGUGCUGGAGAGGAAAGUGGAAUUCCUAGUGUAGCGGUGAAAUGCGUAGAUAUUAGGAGGAACACCAGUGGCGAAGGCGACUUUCUGGACAGUAACUGACGUUGAGGCACGAAAGUGUGGGGAGCAAACAGGAUUAGAUACCC